AUGCGAACGCGAGCGCGGCCGGGUCGAGCACAGCGGACACGGCCGACGCGAGCGCCGAGAGGAGGCAGGAGCGCGGUGUCGAGCACGGCGGACGCAGCCGAUGCGAGCACCGUGCGGAGGCAGGAGAGCAGGUGGCCGCGGGGAGGGACAGCAGCAGCCGCUGGGCGGCGGGGAUCGACGACAGCGCGGCGGACGGGACCUUGUGCAGACUGCAGAGCGUUCGAUACGGAGGGACAGCGGCUGGAGCAUCCCGGCCGUGUCCUGCCCCCCGCCGCCGUCCACGGCAGCUCCGACGAAGAGGAGGUGGCGCCGGGGGGACCGGGUCGGCAAUGA
rnacentral:rRNA from 1 species